GGGCAAUAAAGCAGUUUAAUUAGAAGAUUCCUGCUCAGAGCCUUUCAGCAAUAAAGCCGUUUAGUUAGAAGAUUCCUGCUCGGAGCCUUUCAGCAAUAAAGCCGUUUAGUUAGAAGAUUCCCAUGCAGAGGCUUUCAGGUAUAAAGCAGUUUAAUUAGAAGAUUCCUGCUCAGACCCUUUCAGCAAUAAAGCAGUUUAAUUAGAAGAUUCUCCAAAUAUUUUGAGGCUGGGGAAUGAUCCAAGGAAAUAAUUACAUCAGAUCAUGGGGAGGAAUCUCUUUCUGCAGACCACAGUUAAUCUGCGGAACUCCCUGCCACAGGAUACCGCAAGGAUGUUCUGUUUUUAUUGAUUAAGAUUAUGUCAUGUAUGUAUGUAGGUAUGUAUAUUAUGUCAUGUAUGUAUGCAUGGAUGUCAUGUAUUCAAUUUAUAUAAAGCUCCUUAUCCCGAAGUAGUUUGCUCAUGAAAAUGAAAGGGGAGGUGGAAGACGAAGUUGUGAGGAGCAGACACAGCUUCGGGUACUUCCUUGUGGUCUCCUUUCCCUGCCCCCAAAGAGGGCAGGACUUCAGCAGUGUGAUUUUUUCCCCCCCUCAUCCUUGCCUCUCUCUUCUCCAGCACCUAUGCAAGCCCAGCGUCCUUGCGGCUCCAGCAGGAGGCCAUGGGAAAUCCAGUUAGAGGAACAUGAACCUGAAUGUGAAUUGGGAGGCGCAGCCCAGGCCGAGGUUUACACAAUCGUUGUGAGUAGUGCGUUGGGCCUCCCUUGGCGGUUUGGGGUGAGGGGUGACCACCAGCCCUUCAAGAGGCAAAAGUUCCAGCUUUGGGGAGGGGGCCUAAAGGACCUGGGGGGGGGAGUGUCACAGGAGGAGCUUGAAUCCCAAGCCGACGUCGUAAGGUGCCCAUUUUGUUCACAGACUCGCAACCCUGCACAUUACAAAAUCCUAAAGACAGUUCUAGAAGGUUUGGAGUGCAAAGAGGCUCAAGAGAGGGAGAACACAGAGGGCGGCAAGUGCAAGAAAUGCCUCCUGAAGAGCCUGAAACGAGCCAAGUUGACUGCACCUCAUCCAAAGAAACUCCGGGUGAAGGAUGAGAGCCUGGACUCCAAUUAGGGGAGGGGUCACAUACCCACCCCUCACAUUUUUUUUUGUCUUGUAUAUUAUGUUUUCUUCUUCCUUCUCUCACCAUCUUUCCUUCUCUGUUUUGACUACCAAGGUUGCUCCCAUUACCCAACCCAGCAUCUUGCAGAGCCCCUUUUUCUGGGGGGGGGGUGUCUCCAUCAACCAAGGGUGGGCUUGGCCUAGUCAGCCUCCUACACCACGGCCAGGGGGGCGCGUUUUCACCCUCCCCGGGCUCCAGAGGCUUUCUUUUUUCUUUUUUUUUAAUUACAUUUAUAUGCGCCCUUCUCCAAGACUCAGGCUGCUUACAAUUUUUGGAGCACAACCCAAUGUGCUC
rnacentral:lncRNA from 1 species